AUAUUGGUCAAUGGGCGCAAGCCUGAACCAGCCAUGCCGCGUGCAGGAAGAAGGUGCUAUGCAUUGUAAACUGCUUUUAUACGGGGGUAAUUACAGAUACGUGUAUCUGGAUGAAAGUACCGUAUGAAUAAGGAUCGGCUAACUCCGUGCCAGCAGCCGCGGUAAUACGGAGGAUCCGAGCGUUACCCGGAUUUAUUGGGUUUAAAGGGUGCGUAGGCGGUCAGGUAAGUUAGAGGUGAAAGCUCGAUGCUCAACAUCGAAACUGUCUCUGAUACUGUCUGACUAGAGUGUAGUUGCGGAAGGCGGAAUGUGUGGUGUAGCGGUGAAAUGCUUAGAUAUCACACAGAACACCGAUUGCGAAGGCAGCUUUCCAAGCUAUUACUGACGCUGAGGCACGAAAGCGUGGGGAGCGAACAGG
rnacentral:rRNA from 1 species